UAGGGAAUCUUCGGCAAUGGACGAAAGUCUGACCGAGCAACGCCGCGUGAGUGAAGAAGGUUUUCGGAUCGUAAAACUCUGUUGUUAGAGAAGAACAAGGACGUUAGUAACUGAACGUCCCCUGACGGUAUCUAACCAGAAAGCCACGGCAAACUACGUGCCAGCAGCCGCGGUAAUACGUAGGUGGCAAGCGUUGUCCGGAUUUAUUGGGCGUAAAGCGAGCGCAGGCGGUUUCUUAAGUCUGAUGUGAAAGCCCCCGGCUCAACCGGGGAGGGUCAUUGGAAACUGGGAGACUUGAGUGCAGAAGAGGAGAGUGGAAUUCCAUGUGUAGCGGUGAAAUGCGUAGAUAUAUGGAGGAACACCAGUGGCGAAGGCGGCUCUCUGGUCUGUAACUGACGCUGAGGCUCGAAAGCGUGGGGAGCAAACAGG
rnacentral:rRNA from 1 species